rnacentral:rRNA from 1 species
UACGGGGGGGGCAAGCGUUGUUCGGAAUUACUGGGCGUAAAGGGUCUGUAGGUGGUCUGCUAAGUCAGACGUGAAAUCCCUCAGCUUAACUGGGGAACUGCGUCUGAUACUGGCGGACUUGAGGGCAGGAGAGGAACGCGGAAUUCCAGGUGUAGCGGUGAAAUGCGUAGAUAUCUGGAGGAACACCGGUGGCGAAGGCGGCGUUCUGGACUGUUUCUGACACUGAUAGACGAAAGCCAGGGGAGCAAACGGG